UACGAAGGGUGCAAGCGUUACUCGGAAUUACUGGGCGUAAAGCGUGCGUAGGUGGUUCGUUAAGUCUGAUGUGAAAGCCCUGGGCUCAACCUGGGAAUGGCAUUGGAAACUGGCGACCUAGAGUGCGGUAGAGGGCAGUGGAAUUCCCGGUGUAGCAGUGAAAUGCGUAGAGAUCGGGAGGAACAUCUGUGGCGAAGGCGACUGCCUGGACCAGCACUGACACUGAGGCACGAAAGCGUGGGGAGCAAACAGGG
rnacentral:rRNA from 1 species